ACGAACGCUGGCGGCGUGCUUAACCCAUGCAAGUCGAACGGAAAGGCCCUGCUUUUGUGGGGUGCUCGAGUGGCGAACGGGUGAGUAACACGUGAGUAACCUGCCCUUGACUUUGGGAUAACUUCAGGAAACUGGGGCUAAUACCGGAUAGGAGCUCCUGCUGCAUGGUGGGGGUUGGAAAGUUUCGGCGGUUGGGGAUGGACUCGCGGCUUAUCAGCUUGUUGGUGGGGUAGUGGCUUACCAAGGCUUUGACGGGUAGCCGGCCUGAGAGGGUGAGCGGCCACAUUGGGACUGAGAUACGGCCCAGACUCCUACGGGAGGCAGCAGUGGGGAAUAUUGCACAAUGGGCGGAAGCAUGAUGCAGCAACGCCGCGUGCGGGAUGACGGCCUUCGGGUUGUAAACCGCUUUCGCCUGUGACGAAGCGUGAGUGACGGUAAUGGGUAAAGAAGCACCGGCUAACUACGUG
rnacentral:rRNA from 1 species